AGUGAACGCUGGCGGUAGGCCUAACACAUGCAAGUCGAACGGCAGCACAGUAAGAGCUUGCUCUUACGGGUGGCGAGUGGCGGACGUGUGAGGAAUACAUCGGAAUCUACUUUUUCGUGGGGGAUAACGUAGGGAAACUUACGCUAAUACCGCAUACGACCUACGGGUGAAAGCAGGGGAUCUUCGGACCUUGCGCGAUUGAAUGAGCCGAUGUCGGAUUAGCUAGUUGGCGGGGUAAAGGCCCACCAAGGCGACGAUCCGUAGCUGGUCUGAGAGGAUGAUCAGCCACACUGGAACUGAGACACGGUCCAGACUCCUACGGGAGGCAGCAGUGGGGAAUAUUGGACAAUGGGCGCAAGCCUGAUCCAGCCAUACCGCGUGGGUGAAGAAGGCCUUCGGGUUGUAAAGCCCUCUUGUUGGGAAAGAAAAGCAGCAGGUUAAUACCCCGCUGUUCUGACGGUACCCAAAGAAUAAGCACCGGCUAACUUCGU
rnacentral:rRNA from 1 species